CAUCACUCAUCUGUAAAGCUCUUAUGCAUCAACAAGAAUCGUUAAAAUCUUGAUAGUUGGUUAGCUGGCUGUAUCAUUUACAAGAUUGACUAACUGGUCACAGUACAGUGACUACAAAAAUAUAA